rnacentral:rRNA from 1 species
GCAGCGAGACCAUCAGCUUGGAUUUUGUAAGUAGUUGCAAAUGAACACAAACUUGAUCACUUUGGCAAUCUGUGCACAUCAUUGUGCAACAAUUUGUAUAUGUAGGCACAGUGCUAUCAAAGCUGCAUGCAAGUGAUUUUUGAAAGGAUACAACAUGGGAUGUGAUAUUCAUGUGUGUGUGCCUGCUUUUGUCCCCACCCUGUGCUGUAUAAAUCACAUUUUCUGCAACUAAAAUGCUAAUUGCAUGGGAAAAUUCAUGUGACAUGACACAAGCUUGAGAUUCAUGAUGUGCAAGUACCAUGAGGGAAAUGUGAAAAGGCCUUUGAAAAGAGAAUUAAAGAAAGCCUGCAUUUGCUGACAAUAAAAGCAAGGGGGGAUGUUCAUGUAAUUGUUACUGCAUCAAUCAAUGCUCAUCAUGGUUACUGCAUGCUUUAUAUUACAGCUCAAAACCCGAAGGGUGGGUAACAGCUUUGCUUCGAUUUUUCCCACAUGGGAUCAGUCGAAACUUUGUGAGAACACUUUUCAGUUCCCUCACGUAUCCACCAGCUUUGUCCACUUGUGUGUUGGCACACAUGUAAUGAUGAUGUGUUUAUGAAAGAUACUUCUGUGCUCACCAACAUGUGUGCAAUUCUACUCGUC